UAACAUAACAUAAUAUCAUCAUUAGGUAAUAUAUGUUUAAGGAGACCAUUUUGAUUUAAAUUUAAAGUAAACUUCUUUGAGGAAAAAGAAGCAAAGGCCCUUUUUUAUUUUUAAAAUGACAUCCUGUAAGUUUUCUUUAAAUCUGACUAGAUCUGCCAUGACAUUGGGAGAAUGAGAGAGUGAGAACUGAAUGGAAAGAAAGUGAAUGAAAGACACAGAUAGUGAGAGAGCUCAAGGUAAAACAGACCAACAGGGCUGGAAGAGGAGUACCAAGGAGAGGUCGAUCCAGGGUCGGUGAAGGCCCGGCGGCCAUGGAUCCUUCUCUAGGAGGACAGACUCUGAUAAGGCCCAGGCAGCUCAUACAGUGCUGAGGUUUAUGAGGGCACCAAGAUAACAGCCUGCUGAUAGGACCAAGCAACUCAGCUGGACUGCAGAUAAGAGGCAAGGACUUGUUGCCCUCAACAGGAACAAGAUUUCUAAUUUCUACAGACCCUGCGCUACUGUGGUAGCAGCAUCACCAUUUCUGUUUGGAGAUAGAAAAUGAAAAAGGUUAUUUUUUUUGUUUUUUCUUUUGUUUUUUUGUAUUUUCUUCAUUAAUUACUUACGUUUUGGCUUGCUUCAAGCAAUUGCCAUUUUUUAUAUCCACAUUGCACAAAGAAAAACUGAAAAUUAUAUACUUUUCAAAUGCAAACUGUAUGUAAUUACUUUACAAUUCAAGCUGUUAUUUCAACAUGUGUAUUUAACAUUCAGGUGUUUAUACUGUAGGUGUUCAUAAUUAAUAUUAACAUUUGGGAUUGCAAAGUAAUUAUUUUAUUCUCUUUAUUCCCUGUAUUCUAACGGAAAUCAAGAGAAACCCAGAAUCUUUCCAGAAUAUUUAAUAACUUUUCAUUCCAGAAAAAAAGAAGCAUUAGUUCUGGUCUCAGCAAACUCAUUUUGGUCAGACAUACUUUUGUGACAUAAAUAUUAUAUUGACAUUCAGCUGUUUGUAUUUUAUACUUUGAUCUAUAUUGUAUAAUGUGAUGAAACCUAAACUGCCUUGUUUCACCUUUCAUUUCUGUUGUG
ensembl:lncRNA